CGAAGGGGGUGAGUACUGAGAAGGAGGGAGUGAACAGAAGAGAGAGACGCUGCUGCCAAGGGAGGGAAACCAGGAGAGGCUAAAGGCACAGGCUGGAAUGAUGUUGAAAAGCCGAAGCUCAGAGGGAGUUAGAGGAGGAAGAUAAGGAACACAGAGGCCUGAAAAGGAAGGAAGAAAGUGGAGGCAUCUGGCCAGCAGGUGUGAGCUCUGUGGGUUCACCCAGGUCCUCACGCAGAGCAGAGCGCUGCAAUGGAGGAAAAGCAGGGGGCAAAAUCGGCAAGGCUCAAAGAGGAAAACUUCAAAGUCCACAGAUGCUUACAGUUUCAAGAUUGCUCCCCUCCAGAGACUGCUCCUACUGAGAUGAACUAAACCUGUCUUCUUGAUCCAUCUGUAUAACCAUAAACUGUGCCUCCUGGUUUUAUCUGUACGUAAUAAGCCCGCCUCAUUGUUCAGCUGUAUGCAGUAGCCCUGCCUCUCUAUAUAAUAAACAUGCUGAUCGUC